GGUCUGCCUCCCGCGGCGGGCCGGGUCUCCAGGGAGGACCUGAGUUUUCUUCACCCAUUGUCAGGGAGGCGCCAUCGCCCUGGCUUUGGGGCUGGGGCCUCCGGGGAGGUUCCGGUAGGGGCGUUGGAGAGGCCGCUCUUUUUGCAAGGCCCGAGACGGCGGGCCUUGCGCAGGCCGCCCUAUUCCGCGCCCUCAGGGCGUCAGUAUCAGCCUGAGGCUGGAUACCCCCGCUGGGCCCAGAUGCCCCCGCUGGGCCCGGAGCAUCCUCCGGCGCUGCCCUCCCAGAGCCACGCAGAGGCUGAGGUGGCGCGGGGGCGGCCCUGGCUCCGCGAGAAGCGGCGGCAGCGAGGGCUGGAGGACCCGGGCUGCGGGGCUCCGGGGCGUCUGGCCUGGGUGGGACUGAGCCCAUCCAGGGACUGGGACUCCGGGGUUCUGGUGUAGGUGGAUCCGGGGCAGGCUCAGGACCAAGUCCCUCUCCUUCCACCAAGGAGCGCCCAGAGGCCGGCGGGAGCUCCAGGUUCACCUCCUCCUCCUCCAGGAAAUCCCACUUCCAACUGGAUGUCUGGAUGAACUACUGAAAGCUGCUGAGUGUCCUGCAGCAGGCCAUUUCCAAUCCAGCGGAAGACCUUCUAGAAGAGAUGAUGGUGGGAGAGUGCUGACAUACUAUGUGAAGCUACUAUUUGGAGUUGGACACGAGUGCAUGUGUCCUUGUGCCACAACGGGAAUGUGAGCUGGAUGACAAAUGGAGAUUUGGACUUGUGAUAAUUGGCCUCUGUGUCAUUGUGUGGAAGACUGACUGGUCCCUUUAUUUCCUGUAGCUUGACUACAACACAAAUGAAUCCACUCAAAUGUUGGCAAGUGGAGCAGAGUCCCAGAACAGCUACUUACACCAAGAUGAAGAUAAUUUAUUAGUUCAGGAAGAAUCUGCAUUCUGAAGACAAAUAGAAGUUCCAGCUACAGAUGGGCAGACACAUGCCCUCUCAAUUCCUGAUGGACCUCCUAGUGCCUUCUGGACCUAAGGGGCCUCCCUCAAUGUUCCAAGGUGCCACCAAGGCAGGGAUCAGCUCGUGCAUUCCUGAGAACAUCCCGGAUGAAGUGAGGCUCUGGAAAAAUGCAAGAGUUUCCACAUAAUCCCAAAAAACACUACAGGUGAACUGGAUGCCACAGAAAGAGGAGUGGUCUUUGUCACAACGAAAUCAACAAAAUUAUUUCGAAGUCAAUUAGGAAACUCAGAAAUCACUCUUGCUACCAUUAAGAGGAAGAACAGGAGCCUGUGAAUGGCAUCCCUGGCCUACCUGAGACUCCAAAGAUAUUUCUCUGUGGCUUCUGACAGCAGAAAUCUCUGUGAUUUUCAGAAAGGCAGGGACAGCUCCUGCCAGCCCAUCCUUCUGCAGAAUGUGUCCCAGCAGAUCAGUGGCAUGGAACCAUCAUGGACAGCACAAAGGCUCAAGGGCAGCAUCCCAGGCCGGCCUGUGACUCUAGAUAAGUUCUGAGUCCCCAUGGGGGCUCAGGAAAGGUUAGUGAUGACCUGGAAAGAAGGGACAGGCUGAAACCGCCCCUAAGCAAUCUGCAGGAUUCCAACUUCAGCAGGAAGCCAAGGACCAGCUAUUACCACACCUGCGCCCCCUGAAAACGCUGGAUACAAUCCCACUCUGCAGAAAGUUCCACAUAGAAGUGGCUGGGAAUUUUGCCUUCUAGACUGCAUUUUACACUGCCUCUGGACAUGUGAUGAGAAAUUUAACAUUGGUGUAUCUAACUCUGACAUUUUUCACGAAGUGAUUUUUUAAAAUAUGGUAAAAAAGACAAAAUAUAAUUCAAACAUAUGCAUUAUAUGUCAAAGUAUGCUUCGCUGGCAUCAAGUAGACUCACCUUGAGAUGCAAUCUUGGACAACCUCCAUCUUAAGAAUAUCUAGUUUUUCAAACCAAAACUCUCCAACCAAAAAUCAAUAACAUCAAAAGUUUGCAACUACAAGCCGACGGAAAAUAAAUACAUGAAUUCUACCACAGUGAAUUGGACUGCACUGGGAAACACAGAUGAAGAAAGCCAACACCGCUUUGUCCUUCAGUACCUGGCUCCCUUUUCAGCUCGUCUUGCGACUCCAGGCAUUAUGCCUGAAAAGUCUCCUGGACGCCUGUGAGGCUCUAAUUCCCUGGGUCCCAUUGUCAUGUCUCUGGAUUUGCGAAGAUUAACCGGACCUUCUGUGGAACUCCCGUGUCCCUCAACUUUUGUGACAUGUCCCCUAAUUCUGCCCAUGGUCAUCUGCACCUGCACGACUUAGGGUCCAUGUUCCUUGGACGGGAAGAGACAGGCAGGAGUCGGAAUGAUGAACCAGCACACUGGGGCAUUUUCUCAUGUAGCCCAAGUGACCCCAUGGUCUUCUUGAGCUUUGGAACCAGUCGCGUCCCCCUUGACACUGCACCCGACUCCCAGUUUCUCAAUCUUGUUGGCCCUCCGGCGAUCUCCCGUUGGAUGAAUUGCAUCUGCUGAAACUCGAGUCCCCUUUGAUUUGUGCUUCAUUAAUUAUUCAUGAUUCAGGUUGGAAGGCCUGCUGACGACCCCCUGUGGCCGUUUUCCGAGCUUUCCGGUCACAUCGUUUCCUUCCACCCUCUUUGGUUCCUUGUGGUCCUGCUCCUUCUGCUGUCAGAGGAGCAGAGAGUUGAUCUUAUUGAUUCUGGAUACGGAUACUUUGUAGGUGAUCUGGAUAAUCAAGAUAACGACCCUCAAAAGCGGCGGAAAGGGAGCAGCCAUUUGGUGUGUCUCAGCAAAUCCCGCUGAGUUCCGAGGCCGCCUAGGUAUGCAAUCCUGCUGAGAGUUGUUCCCAGGUCAGAGAAUGGAGAGAGCCUGUGCAUGAUGGGAUAUCCCUGCCUAGAUCUUUCAGUGAGUCUCUACCUCAGCUACUCUUAGGAUCAGGGGGAGAACCAUGGAAAGGCCCGGUGUCAGACAUCCGGAAAGAAGAGGGAUGAAUGUUUCACCUCUGAAGUACAUCCCAAAUGUGGGAGUUAACUUCAGCUUUGCUGGGGUCUACUUGGCCAGCGAAACUCUGCCUGGUUCAUUCGCACAUCCGGAAGCCACUUCACGGGGAGCCGUCGCAACCGGAACCACACACUUGGCAUCGGCGGUUGAGCCAAAUGGGGACUCGUGGUGCAAGCAACGCUCCCCACGUGUUAGCGUGCGUGAGAUUCAAUUGGCGGAAUUUUACUAGGUGCGUGUUGGUAGAGCGGGGCUGAGGUUUUCUUGCUCCUGUGGAUGUAUAGGAAGUCAAAGGUCCUGCCCAGCCCUGCGGUCCCCUCAGUCAACUCUGUUUCGGAGACAUAACGAUUUGGAUUGCUAACAAGUCAAGAAAUGUUCAAGUCCUUGGAUGUAGGGAAAAGAAAGAGAGAUCAGACUGUCACUGUGUCUAUGUCGAAAGGGAAGACAUAAGAGACUCUAUUUUGAAAAGGACCUGUACUUUAAACAAUUGCUUUGCUGAGAUGUUGUUCAUUUGUAGCUUUGCCCCAGCCACUUUGCCCCAGCCGCUUUGACCCAACUUGGAGCACACAAAAACCUAUGUUGUAUAAAAUCAAGGUUUAAGGGAUCUAGGGCUGUGCAGGACGUGCCUUGUUAACCAAAUGUUUACAAGCAGUAUACUUUGUAAAAGUCAUUGCCAUUCUCUAGUCUCAAUAAACCAGGGACACAAUGCACCGUGGAAAGCCGCAGGGACCUCUGCCCUUGAAAGCAGGGUAUUGUCCAAAGUUUCUCCCCAUGCGAUAGUCUGAAAUAUGGCCUCGUGGGAUGAGAAAGACCUGACUGUCCCCCAGCCUGACACCCGUAAAGCGUCUGUGCUGAGGUGUAUUAGUCAAAGAGGAAAGCCUCUUGCAGUUGACAUGGAGGAAGGCCACUGUCUCCUGCUUGCCCCUGGGAACUGAAUGUCUCGGUGUAAAACCCGAUCGUACAUUUGUUCAACUCUGAGCUCGGAGAAAAGCUGCCCUGUGGAGGGAGGCGAGACAUGUUGGCAGUAAUGCUGCCUUGUUAUUCUUUACUCCGCUGAGAUGUUUGGGUGGAGAGAGACAUAAAUCUGGCCUACGUGCACGUCCAG
ensembl:lncRNA FAM66D family with sequence similarity 66 member D